rnacentral:rRNA from 1 species
UACGAAGGGGGCUAGCGUUGCUCGGAAUCACUGGGCGUAAAGGGUGCGUAGGCGGGUCUUUAAGUCAGGGGUGAAAUCCUGGAGCUCAACUCCAGAACUGCCUUUGAUACUGAAGAUCUUGAGUUCGGGAGAGGUGAGUGGAGCUGCGAGUGUAGAGGUGAAAUUCGUAGAUAUUCGCAAGAACACCAGUGGCGAAGGCGGCUCACUGGCCCGAUACUGACGCUGAGGUGCGAAAGCGUGGGGAGCGAACAGG